rnacentral:rRNA from 1 species
AACGAACGCUGGCGGCAGGCUUAACACAUGCAAGUCGAGCGCCCCGCAAGGGGAGCGGCAGACGGGUGAGUAACGCGUGGGAAUCUACCCAUCUCUACGGAAUAACGCAUGGAAACGUGUGCUAAUACCGUAUACGUCCUUCGGGAGAAAGAUUUAUCGGAGAUGGAUGAGCCCGCGUUGGAUUAGCUAGUUGGUGGGGUAAAGGCCUACCAAGGCGACGAUCCAUAGCUGGUCUGAGAGGAUGAUCAGCCACACUGGGACUGAGACACGGCCCAGACUCCUACGGGAGGCAGCAGUGGGGAAUAUUGGACAAUGAGCGCAAGCCUGAUCCAGCCAUGCCGCGUGAGUGAUGAAGGCCCUAGGGUUGUAAAGCUCUUUCACCGGUGAAGAUAAUGACGGUAGCCGGAGAAGAAGCCCCGGCUAACUUCGUGCCAGCAGCCGCCGUAACAC